UACAGAGGGUGCAAGCGUUAAUCGGAAUUACUGGGCGUAAAGCGUGCGCAGGCGGUGAUGUAAGACGGGUGUGAAAUCCCCGGGCUUAACCUGGGAACUGCAUUUGUGACUGCAUCGCUGGAGUGCGGCAGAGGGGGAUGGAAUUCCGCGUGUAGCAGUGAAAUGCGUAGAUAUGCGGAGGAACACCGAUGGCGAAGGCAAUCCCCUGGGCCUGCACUGACGCUCAUGCACGAAAGCGUGGGGAGCAAACAGG
rnacentral:rRNA from 1 species